GCGCUGAUGUCAUGGGCGCAGCCUGAUGCAGCCAUGCCGCGUGUGUGAAGAAGGCCUUUCGGGUUGUAAAGCACUUUCAGUCGUGAGGAAGGUAGUGUAGUUAAUAGCUGCAUUAUUUGACGUUAGCGACAGAAGAAGCACCGGCUAACUCCGUGCCAGCAGCCGCGGUAAUACGGAGGGUGCGAGCGUUAAUCGGAAUUACUGGGCGUAAAGCGCAUGCAGGUGGUUUGUUAAGUCAGAUGUGAAAGCCCGGGGCUCAACCUCGGAAUUGCAUUUGAAACUGGCAGACUAGAGUACUGUAGAGGGGGGUAGAAUUUCAGGUGUAGCGGUGAAAUGCGUAGAGAUCUGAAGGAAUACCGGUGGCGAAGGCGGCCCCCUGGACAGAUACUGACACUCAGAUGCGAAAGCGUGGGGAGCAAACAGGAUUAGAUACCCUGGUAGUCCACGCCGUAAACGAUGUCUACUUGGAGGUUGUGGCCUUGAGCCGUGGCUUUCGGAGCUAACGCGUUAAGUAGACCGCCUGGGGAGUACGGUCGCAAGAUUAAAACUCAAAUGAAUUGACGGGGGCCCGCACAAGCGGUGGAGCAUGUGGUUUAAUUCGAUGCAACGCGAAGAACCUUACCUACUCUUGACAUCCAGAGAACUUUCCAGAGAUGGAUUGGUGCCUUCGGGAACUCUGAGACAGGUGCUGCAUGGCUGUCGUCAGCUCGUGUUGUGAAAUGUUGGGUUAAGUCCCGCAACGAGCGCAACCCUUAUCCUUGUUUGCCAGCGAGUAAUGUCGGGAACUCCAGGGAGACUGCCGGUGAUAAACCGGAGGAAGGUGGGGACGACGUCAAGUCAUCAUGGCCCUUACGAGUAGGGCUACACACGUGCUACAAUGGCGCAUACAGAGGGCGGCCAACUUGCGAAAGUGAGCGAAUCCCAAAAAGUGCGUCGUAGUCCGGAUUGGAGUCUGCAACUCGACUCCAUGAAGUCGGAAUCGCUAGUAAUCGUGGAUCAGAAUGCCACGGUGAAUACGUUCCCGGGCCUUGUACACACCGCCCGUCACACCAUGGGAGUGGGCUGCAAAAGAAGUAGGUAGUUUAACCCUUCGGGGGGGACGCUUACCACUUUGUGGUUCAUGACUGGGGGUGAGU
rnacentral:rRNA from 1 species